CGCCGGAGUCGGCGGAGACAGGCUCUCCCCCCCGGCGAGCUUGACGCCGGCGAGAGGAGGGGAGUCCCUGAAGGGAACCACUGGUUGGCGGUCGUGGCGACGGGCGAGGGGGUUGGCGGAGUGGACGUCAGCGUCGCAGGCGGCGCAGAGCAUGGCGGCGUCGGCCUUGCAGAAGAUGGCGGCUGCGGCCUGCUCGCAGACCUCGCAGAUCUUCACCCGUUCGUGCCGUGAUGCGAACCUGUUGGCGCUGUGGACUUCGCCAUCGCAGGCGGCGCAGAGGAAGGCGGAGUCAGCGCGGCAGAAGACCACCGCCGCCGCGCUGUUGCAGGAGUCGCACUCCCGCGCCGCCAUGCCCCUCGCCGCUCGCCCCCUCUCGCCCUCUUCACCUCUCUGUCUCUCUCUCUAUCUCUCUCUCUCUCUCUUUCUAUCUCUGAUUUGGCUGGGCCGUGAGGAGAGGGGCCUCGGGGAGAUCUUGAACUUGCCGGAAGCGAACAGCCAAACGCGACCGGGAGG
rnacentral:lncRNA from 1 species